UGGUGGAGUGAUUUGUCUGGUUAAUUCCGAUAACGAACGAGACCUUAACCUGCUAAAUAGAUUGCCGGGUUAUAACCUAGCUAAUCUUCUUAGAGGGACUGUGUGGUAAAACCUCAAGGAAGUUUAAGGCAAUAACA
rnacentral:rRNA from 1 species